UACGUAGGGGGCAAGCGUUGUCCGGAUUUAUUGGGCGUAAAGAGCGUGUAGGCGGCCAGGGAGGUCCGUUGUGAAAACUCGAGGCUCAACCUCGAGACGCCGAUGGAAACCCCCUGGCUAGAGUCCGGAAGAGGAGAGUGGAAUUCCUGGUGGUAGCGGUGAAAUGCGCAGAUAUCAGGAAGAACACCCGUGGCUAAGGCGGCUCUCUAGUACGGUACUGACGCUGAGACGCGAAAGCGUGGGGAGCGAACAGG
rnacentral:rRNA from 1 species